AGAGUUGAUCAUGGCUCAGAACGAACGCUGGCGGCGCGUUUAAGCAUGCAAGUCGAGCGGCAAGGGCCUUCGGGCCCCUAGAGCGGCGGACGGGUGAGUAACACGUGGACAAUCUGCCCCCCGGCCCGGGAUAGCCCAGGGAAACCUGGAUUAAUACCGGAUGAGACGGGACCCGCGAAGGCGGGACCCGGGAAAGGCGCUGCGGCGCCGCCGGGGGAUGAGUCUGCGUCCCAUUAGCUAGACGGCGGGGUAACGGCCCACCGUGGCGACGAUGGGUAGCCGGCCUGAGAGGGUGGACGGCCACAUUGGAACUGAGACACGGUCCAGACUCCUACGGGAGGCAGCAGCUAAGAAUCUUCCGCAAUGGGCGAAAGCCUGACGGAAGCGACGCCGCGUGAACGAAGAAGGCCGUGAGGUUGUAAAAUUCUUUUCGGGAGGGGGAACAACCGUGGCAGGGAAUGGCCGCGGGAUGACGUGAAUCCCGGAAUAAGCCCCGGCUAACUACGUGCCAGCCGCCGC
rnacentral:rRNA from 1 species